GCGGGUGUAGUUUAUGGUAAAACUACAGCCUUCCAAGCUGUUGUCGCGAGUUCGAUUCUCGUCACCCGCU
rnacentral:tRNA from 1 species